rnacentral:rRNA from 1 species
CCUACGGGGGGCUGCAGUGGGGAAUAUUGGACAAUGGGGGGAACCCUGAUCCAGCCAUGCCGCGUGUGUGAAGAAGGCCCUCGGGUUGUAAAGCACUUUCAGCGAGGAAGAACGCCUGGUGGUUAAUACCCAUCAGGAAAGACAUCACUCACAGAAGAAGCACCGGCUAACUCCGUGCCAGCAGCCGCGGUAAUACGGAGGGUGCGAGCGUUAAUCGGAAUUACUGGGCGUAAAGCGCGCGUAGGUGGCUUGAUAAGCCGGUUGUGAAAGCCCCGGGCUCAACCUGGGAACGGCAUCCGGAACUGUCAAGCUAGAGUGCAGGAGAGGAAGGUAGAAUUCCCGGUGUAGCGGUGAAAUGCGUAGAGAUCGGGAGGAAUACCAGUGGCGAAGGCGGCCUUCUGGACUGACACUGACACUGAGGUGCGAAAGCGUGGGUAGCAAACAGGAUUAGAUACCCUUGUAGUC